GCAGGAUGCCUGCCUUCAAGGGCCGUGUGUUUCAGAAAACAGCACAGAGCAUGGGUAUGGAGCCAGUUCUGCGCUCUGCGCUCAAGCCAGACCUGAGUGUCCUGAAAGCAGUGGUGGAUGGGCAGGAGCAGCUCAGAAGCUUUCUCAUUCAGCUGAAUCAAGCCAAGAGCAUCCGUUCACCUCAGAGGGAAGAGGAGAGCACUGGCUGCUUCCCAGCCCUGGAGUGGCUCAUUGCAGCCAAGUUCAACAUGAAUUCAUCAAGACAGAAAGGGUGCACCAUGGAGGCUCUUGAUGGAUUUUUUUUUCCCCAGAACUUGAGGUCGCACAAACCUAGUCUCUAAACUUAGCAGAGACAAAUUCCAGCUUUGUGUAUUCAAAAGUCACAGGAGCUCAGAAGCUCUGAUGAGCUGUUCUCGCCAUAGCUGUGCUCUCCAGCCACCUGCUCCUGAGUCCUGCCAAAGGGCCACAGUUCUCAAGAUCCCGUCACAGUGAGCUCUUGGCUGUAACAAGCCUGGCACAGUCUUCUGCGGCGGCUCAUUCAUUUCAGGAAUCACUUGGAAGACUUCAGCAGGAGGGUUGCUUGAGUUCUGGAGUUGGAGGUUAGCCUAGACAACAUAGUGAGAGUCCGUCUCAAAAAUAAAUAAAUAAAUAAAUAGAAAAGAGGCUGGAAGAAAUGGAUUAUGGCCCAGUUGGUAGAGUACAGCUCAAAUGGAAAACCCAAGUUUCUCAAAGCUGAAAGCAACUAUGUUAUAAAGACAAUAAGAUAU